CAACCACAAGCCACGCCCUCAGAGCAUAUGCAGACCAGCUAGCGGGAGUGUUAAUGGACAUAUUCAAUCUCUCCAUGUCUAAGUCUGUUGUCCCCACUUGCUUCAAUAUGUCCACCACUGUUCCUGUAAUCAAGAAAACGAAGCUCGUCCCCAAGAACUUGGAGAAUGGAGAUGUGAAUGACAUUGCAGAAGAUGAAGUACCAGGCCUGCCUAUCUAUCUGAACAUCACGCAUGCCAAGGAGAAGUUCCUAGAGGUUAAAAACGAGGGAGGAGGCAAACUCCAUGUCUCUUGUUGAUUAGCAUCGUGGUUUGGACCUGGGCCCCCCCAAAAAAAUAUUUCAUAGCUUAUUUGUUAAUACCAACUUUAAAAAAAAAUAGCUUGGGUCUAAUAUAAUCGCU
rnacentral:lncRNA from 1 species